GAUGAACGCUGGCGGCGUGCCUAAUACAUGCAAGUCGAGCGAACAGACGAGGAGCUUGCUCCUCUGACGUUAGCGGCGGACGGGUGAGUAACACGUGGAUAACCUACCUAUAAUACUGGGAUCACUUCGGGAAACCGGAGCUAAUACCGGAUAAUAUAUUGAACCGCAUGGUUCAAUAGUGAAAUACGGUUUUUCUGUCACUUAUAGAUGGUUCCGGGCCGCAUUGGCUAGUUGGUAAGGUAACGGCCUACCAAGGCGACGAUGCGUAGACGACGUGAGAGGGUGAUCGGCCGCACUGGAAGGGAGACACGGUCAAGGCUACUAAGGGAGGCAGCAGUAGGGAAUGUUCGGCAAUGGGCGAAAGCAUGACGGAGCGACGGGGAGUGAGAGAUGAAGGUGUUGGGAUCGUAAAAAUCUGUUAUUAGGGAAGAACAACUGUGUAAGUAAAUAUGGACGUAUUGACGGUAACUGAUAAGAAAGCACCGGCUAACUACGUG
rnacentral:rRNA from 1 species